rnacentral:rRNA from 1 species
CCUACGGGUGGCAGCAGUGGGGGAUAUUGCACAAUGGGGGAAACCCUUAUGCAGCGACGCCGGGUGGGCGAAGAAGUAUUUCGGUAUGUAAAGCCCUAUCAGCAGGGACGAAGAAAUUACGGUACCUGAGUAAGAAGCACCGGCUAAAUACGUUCCAGCAGCCGGGGUAAUACGUAGGGUGCAAGCGUUAUCCGGAUGUACGGGGUGGAAAGGGAGCGAAGGCGGGAAGGAAAGCCUGAUGUGAAAGCCCACGGCCCAACCGCGGGACUGCAUUGGGAACUACCGGGCUGGAGUGCAGGAGAGGUAGGCGGAAUUCCUAGUGUAGCGGUGGAAUGCGUAGAUAUUAGGAGGAACACCAGUGGCGAAGGCGGCCUACUGGACGGUGACUGACGCUGAGGCUCGAAAGCGUGGGGAGCAAACAGGAUUAGAUACCCUAGUAGUC